AUGGACGGGAAGAACUUGGGCAGUGGGCAACUAGCUCAACAAACUAAGCCAGAUGCCUUGACAGACGAUCAAGGGGCCCUGAAGCACACUGCAGAUUCUCACACCAGAAAUCCGACUUCAGUGAAUGGUCACAAUUCUGUAGAUAUGAACAUGGAAGCUGCGAUCUCAGCCGAUGAUGUCAUGCGAGCCGGCGGCUUCGGCGCCAAAGACGACAUCGGCAGCCUCCUGCCAACAGCGAUGGACUCCACCGACUUCGAGGCCUCGCUGCGGGACGCCCGCGACUAUGAAGGCGAGAAGGAGAAGCCAUCGCGGCCCGGGCUGGGUUACAGGGCAUCCGAAGCUGACACCGCAAGCAAGCUGUCGGACACGCCACCGCAGUGA
rnacentral:rRNA from 1 species